GACGAACGCUGGCGGCGUGCUUAACACAUGCAAGUCGAACGAAGAGCGAUGGAAGCUUGCUUCUAUCAAUCUUAGUGGCGAACGGGUGAGUAACGCGUAAUCAACCUGCCCUUCAGAGGGGGACAACAGUUGGAAACGACUGCUAAUACCGCAUACGAUCUAACCUCGGCAUCGAGGAAAGAUGAAAGGUGGCCUCUAUGUAUAAGCUAUCACUGAAGGAGGGGAUUGCGUCUGAUUAGCUAGGUGGAGGGGUAACGGCCCACCAAGGCGAUGAUCAGUAGCCGGUCUGAGAGGAUGAACGGCCACAUUGGGACUGAGACACGGCCCAGACUCCUACGGGAGGCAGCAGUGGGGAAUCUUCCGCAAUGGACGAAAGUCUGACGGAGCAACGCCGCGUGAGUGAUGACGGCCUUCGGGUUGUAAAGCUCUGUUAAUCGGGACGAAAGGCCUUCUUGCGAAUAGUGAGAAGGAUUGACGGUACCGGAAUAGAAAGCCACGGCUAACUACGUG
rnacentral:rRNA from 1 species